CGUAAUUCAAUUCAGAAUCAUUAUCUUCUUUUCUAAAGCUCUCCUUUUCAAGUUUCCACUGUCUCUCUCUCGCUGUUGUAUUCAGUUAUUUUUAGAGUUGUAAUCAGACGCCAUGGAACGUGCUCGAAGCAAAACGCGCAUAAAAUUUAAUUCUGUAAAACGGGGAUAAAAUUGGUCACGCGAUUGGUUAAAUUUCGAAACUUUUGCCGCGAACCGUCGCCGAAAUCGAAUUUGAUGCUUCUGAUUGGUGUUCUAUACGCGUCAUCAGUGCUUCUUGUAGUAGUUAUCGCAAAUUCGAGUCAAGCUGGAGACGCGGUCGCGGUCGGUGCAUUAUAAGUCCGUAGUGUGUUAAAGAGGUAGGAUGUUUUGUUCGCGUCUUUUAAAUUCGACUUGCCGAGCUAACUUUUUCGCAGAAGUAGUUUUAUAUUUUUCUACGUGAAAGAUUCAAGAUAAACGAGUGAGGAGAUUGAAGAUCAUUUUGAUGCUACGGAAAAAACAAGUCGUCUCCCUCCUAAGGUGUUUUAUCUGUUAACUUUUCAUCUUGGAGGCUCUUAUAGUUAAUUAAUUAAGAGGAACAUCAGAAGAACUCCAGAUGCCAUUAAAUUAUGGACCAUUGGUUGUGUUAGUUAUCAAUUGCUCCGGAAAGUAGUUGUACCUAUG